GUGAUAGCCUAUUGGUUGAUGUCUCAAGCUCUGAACCAGAGGGUUCUAGGUUCGAAUCCUAGUAUCCCA
rnacentral:tRNA from 1 species